GUCGUCUGAAACACGGACCAACGGCGAGUGAAGCGGCAACAGCUCAAAUUUGAAAGCUGGCCUUCGGGUCCGCAUUGUAAUUUGUAGAGGAUGCUUUGGGUGAAACGCCAGUCUAAGUUCCUUGGAACAGGACGUCAUAGAGGGUGAGAAUCCCGUAUGUGACUGGAAAUGUUAACCUAUGUAAAGCUCCUUCGACGAGUCGAGUUGUUUGGGAAUGCAGCUCUAANUGGGAGGUAAAUUUCUUCUAAAGCUAAAUAUUGGCGAGAGACCGAUNGCGCACAAGUAGAGUGAUCGAAAGAUGAANAGCACUUUGGAAAGAGAGUUANAAAGCACGUGAAAUUGUUGAAAGGGAAGCGCUNGCAAUCAGACUUGUUUAAACUGUUCGGCCGGUCUUCUGACCGGUUUACUCAGUU
rnacentral:rRNA from 1 species